rnacentral:rRNA from 1 species
AUUGAACGCUGGCGGCAUGCUUUACACAUGCAAGUCGAACGGUAACAGCACUUCGGUGGCUGACGAGUGGCGAACGGGUGAGUAAUACAUCGGAACGUGCCUAGUAGUGGGGGAUAACUACUCGAAAGAGUAGCUAAUACCGCAUGAGAUCUAAGGAUGAAAGCAGGGGACCUUCGGGCCUUGCGCUACUAGAGCGGCUGAUGGCAGAUUAGGUAGUUGGUGGGGUAAAAGCUUACCAAGCCGACGAUCUGUAGCUGGUCUGAGAGGACGACCAGCCACACUGGGACUGAGACACGGCCCAGACUCCUACGGGAGGCAGCAGUGGGGAAUUUUGGACAAUGGGCGCAAGCCUGAUCCAGCAAUGCCGCGUGCAGGAUGAAGGCCUUCGGGUUGUAAACUGCUUUUGUACGGAACGAAAAGCCCUCUUCUAAUACAGGAGGGUCAUGACGGUACCGGAAGAAUAAGCACCGGCUAACUACGUG